UACGGAAGGCAGCAGUGGGGAAUAUUGCACAAUGGGCGCAAACCUGAUGCAGCCAUGCCGCGUGUAUGAAGAAGGCCUUCGGGUUGUAAAGUACUUUCAGUCGUGAGGAAGGUGUUAAGGUUAAUAACCUUAGCAAUUGACGUUAGCGACAGAAGAAGCACCGGCUAACUCCGUGCCAGCAGCCGCGGUAAUACGGAGGGUGCGAGCGUUAAUCGGAAUUACUGGGCGUAAAGGGCACGCAGGCGGUUAAUUAAGUUGGAUGUGAAAUCCCCGGGCUUAACCUGGGAAUGGCAUUCAAGACUGGUUAGCUAGAGUCUUGUAGAGGGGGGUAGAAUUCCAUGUGUAGCGGUGAAAUGCGUAGAGAUGUGGAGGAAUACCGGUGGCGAAGGCGGCCCCCUGGACAAAGACUGACGCUCAUGUGCGAAAGCGUGGGGAGCAAACAGGGAUUAGAUACC
rnacentral:rRNA from 1 species